rnacentral:rRNA from 1 species
UACGGAGGGUGCAAGCGUUAAUCGGAAUUACUGGGCGUAAAGCGCACGCAGGCGGUUAGAUAAGCUAGAUGUGAAAGCCCCGAGCUCAACUUGGGAACUGCAUUUAGAACUGUCUGACUAGAGUCUUGUAGAGGGGGGUAGAAUUCCAGGUGUAGCGGUGAAAUGCGUAGAGAUCUGGAGGAAUACCGGUGGCGAAGGCGGCCCCCUGGACAAAGACUGACGCUCAGGUGCGAAAGCGUGGGGAGCAAACAGG